rnacentral:rRNA from 1 species
AGAUGCGAUCAUACUAACACUAAUGCAACAGAUUUCAUCAAAACUCCGCAAUUAAACGUGUUUGGACUAGAGUAGUUCUAGGAUGAAUGAUUAGUCUCCCACCCU